rnacentral:rRNA from 1 species
GACGAACGCUGGCGGCGUGCUUAACACAUGCAAGUCGAACGGAAAGGCCCUGCUUGCAGGGUACUCGAGUGGCGAACGGGUGAGUAACACGUGGGUGAUCUGCCCUGCACUUCGGGAUAAGCCUGGGAAACUGGGUCUAAUACCGGAUAGGAGCCAUUUUUAGUGUGAUGGUUGGAAAGUUUUUUCGGUGUAGGAUGAGCUCGCGGCCUAUCAGCUUGUUGGUGGGGUAAUGGCCUACCAAGGCGGCGACGGGUAGCCGGCCUGAGAGGGUGGACGGCCACAUUGGGACUGAGAUACGGCCAAGACUCCUACGGGAGGCAGAAGUGGGGAAUAUUGAACAAGGGGCGCAAGCCUGAUGCAGAGACGGCGCGUGGGGGAUGACGGCCUUGGGGUUAUGAACGCAUUUCGCUAGGGACGAAGCUUUUUGUGACGGUACCUAGAGAAGAAGCACCGGCUAACUACGUG